rnacentral:rRNA from 1 species
UACGAAGGGUGCAAGCGUUAAUCGGAAUUACUGGGCGUAAAGGGUGUGUAGGCGGUUUGUUAAGUCUGUCGUGAAAUCCCCGGGCUCAACCUGGGAAUGGCGAUGGAUACUGGCGAGCUAGAGUGUGUCAGAGGAUGGUGGAAUUCCCGGUGUAGCGGUGAAAUGCGUAGAGAUCGGGAGGAACAUCAGUGGCGAAGGCGGCCAUCUGGGACAACACUGACGCUGAAGCACGAAAGCGUGGGGAGCAAACAGG